UACAGAGGUCUCAAGCGUUGUUCGGAUUCAUUGGGCGUAAAGGGUGCGUAGGUGGCGCCGUAAGUCGGGUGUGAAAUUUCGGAGCUUAACUCCGAAACUGCAUUCGAUACUGCCGUGCUAGAGGACUGGAGAGGAGACUGGAAUUUACGGUGUAGCAGUGAAAUGCGUAGAGAUCGUAAGGAAGACCAGUGGCGAAGGCGGGUCUCUGGACAGUUCCUGACACUGAGGCACGAAGGCCAGGGGAGCAAACGGG
rnacentral:rRNA from 1 species